GACGAACGCUGGCGGCGUGCUUAACACAUGCAAGUCGAACGGUGAAGCGCCUUCCUUUUUGGUGGGUGGGGAUGAGUGGCGAACGGGUGAGUAACACGUGAGUAACCUGCCCCCUUCUUCUGGAUAACCGCAUGAAAGUGUGGCUAAUACGGGAUAUUCUGGGUCUGUCGCAUGAUGGGUCUGGGAAAGAUUUUGUUUCGGUGGGGGAUGGGCUCGCGGCCUAUCAGCUUGUUGGUGGGGUGAUGGCCUACCAAGGCGGUGACGGGUAGCCGGCCUGAGAGGGUGGACGGUCACACUGGGACUGAGACACGGCCCAGACUCCUACGGGAGGCAGCAGUGAGGAUUAUUGCACGAUGGGCGCAAGGCUGAAGCAGCGACGCCGCGUGAGGGAUGGAGGCCUGCGGGUUGUGAACCUCUUUCGCCAGUGAAGCAGGCCUGCCUCGUUUGUGGGUGGGUUGACGGUAGCUGGAGAAGAAGCGCCGGCUAACUACGUG
rnacentral:rRNA from 1 species